CCUUAUUUUAAAUACAAUGCCUGUACCACAACAUUGGUAACUGGGUGCCUGCUUUUCCCUUGUGUCACUUUCCUACCUUGACUCCCAGCUUCAAACUCUACUUCCUGUCUUGCUCUUCUCAAUUCCAGAGAUUAAAAUCCUGGCCCUGAACUGCAGUCCUCUGGUUAGGUUCCUGCUUCCAGCCAUCUCUAAUGCCACCUGCUAUCCUGCUUGGCUCUUUUGGGGGCUCUGCACUGCCCACACGCCUGGUUAUUUACCUCCUGCAUCUCCCUGGACAUCGUUUUGUUACCUACUACUGGAGCCAGUCCCAACCUGAUAGAAUGAUCAGGUUUGGAGGUUUUAACCUUCUCUUGGUUAUGAGCAUCAGAAACCACCCCAGAGAAGCUAUACAUGGUAAGGGCCCUAAAUUCCCAAGGGAGCAUAAACAGGGUGUCUUAGAGUUUUGGUUCAGUUCU
rnacentral:lncRNA from 1 species